rnacentral:rRNA from 1 species
GUUUGAUCAUGGCUCAGAUUGAACGCUGGCGGUAUGCUUUACACAUGCAAGUCGAACGGCAGCACGGACUUCGGUCUGGUAGGCGAGUGGCGAACGGGUGAGUAAUGUAUCGGAACGUGCCCAGUAGUGGGGGAUAACUACUCGAAAGAGUGGCUAAUACCGCAUGAGAUCUCUGGAUGAAAGCGGGGGACCGUAAGGCCUCGCGCUACUGGAGCGGCCGAUAUCAGAUUAGGUAGUUGGUAGGGUAAAAGCCUACCUGAGCCAACGAUCUGGUAGCUGGUCUGAGAGGACGACCAGCCACACUGGGACUGACACACGGCCCAGACUCCUACGGGGAAGGCAGCAGUGGGGGAAUUUUGGACAAUGGACGCAAGUCUGAUCCAGCAAUACCGCGUGCAGGACGAAGGCCUUCGGGUUGAAACUGCUUUUGUCCGGAACGAAAACCUUUUCUAUAC